UUUCCAAGACAGUGCUAUGAUAGGGAGUGU
rnacentral:piRNA from 1 species